rnacentral:rRNA from 1 species
UACGGAGGUGGCAAGCGUUGCUCGGAAUCACUGGGCGUCAAGGGCGCGUAGGCGGGGAGGUAAGUCGGGUGUGAAAUCCCUCGGCCCAACCGAGGAACUGCGCCCGAGACUGCUUCUCUUGAGUCCCGGAGAGGAAGAUGGAAUUCCCGGUGUAGCGGUGAAAUGUGUAGAGAUCGGGAGGAACACCGGUGGCGAAGGCGGUCUUCUGGACGGUGACUGGCGCUGAGGCGCGAAAGCGUGGGGAGCAAACGGG